UUGCACAAUGGGCGAAAGCCUGAUGCAGCGACGCCGCGUGAGGGAUGAAGGCCUUCGGGUUGUAAACCUCUUUCAGUAGGGAAGAAGCCGGCCUUUUGGGUUGGUGACGGUACCUGCAGAAGAAGCGCCGGCUAACUACGUGCCAGCAGCCGCGGUAAUACGUAGGGCGCAAGCGUUAUCCGGAAUUAUUGGGCGUAAAGAGCUCGUAGGCGGUUUGUCGCGUCUGCCGUGAAAGUCCGGGGCUUAACCCCGGAUCUGCGGUGGGUACGGGCAGACUAGAGUGCAGUAGGGGAGACUGGAAUUCCUGGUGUAGCGGUGAAAUGCGCAGAUAUCAGGAGGAACACCGAUGGCGAAGGCAGGUCUCUGGGCUGUAACUGACGCUGAGGAGCGAAAGCAUGGGGAGCGAACAGGAUUAGAUACCCUGGUAGUCCAUGCCGUAAACGUUGGGCACUAGGUGUGGGGGACAUUCCACGUUUUCCGCGCCGUAGCUAACGCAUUAAGUGCCCCGCCUGGGGAGUACGGCCGCAAGGCUAAAACUCAAAGGAAUUGACGGGGGCCCGCACAAGCGGCGGAGCAUGCGGAUUAAUUCGAUGCAACGCGAAGAACCUUACCAAGGCUUGACAUGAACCGGAAUGAUGCAGAGAUGUGUCAGCCACUUGUGGCCGGUUUA
rnacentral:rRNA from 1 species